GAAGGCGGCCUCCUGGACCACUCCUGACACUCAGACGCGAAAGCUAGGGUAGCAAACGGGAUUAGAGACCCCGGUAGUCCUAGCCCUAAACGAUGUAGACUUGGCGUCGGUGGUUUAAUCGCCAUCGGUGUCGUAGCUAACGCGNUAAGUCUACCGCCUGGGGACUACGGCCGCAAGGUUAAAACUCAAAGGAAUUGACGGGUCCCCGCACAAGCAGCGGAGCGUGUGGUUUAAUUCGAUGCUACACGAAGAACCUUACCUGGGUUUGACAUAGAGGUAGUAGGGAAGCGAAAGCGGACCGACCCUUCGGGGAGCCUCUACAGGUGUUGCAUGGCUGUCGUCAGCUCGUGUCGUGAGAUGUUCGGUUAAGUCCGCUAACGAGCGCAACCCUCGCUGUGUGUUACAAGUGUCACACGGUACUGC
rnacentral:rRNA from 1 species